CGAUGAUGAUCCACAGAGACAUGCAGAUAAGACUGGUCGAGUUUGUGAAGAAACGGGUGGUUCUCCUCGAAAAGGCGUUGAAUUUGGAAUAUGCAGAAGAGUAUUAUGGAAUCGUUCCACCGUCAAUCUCAGCUGUUGUUGACAGAAACCCACCUUUGAACGAGCUGUGGAAAACUGUCGAUGAGAACAAUCGUGAAUCUGUCGAGACAUUUAUG